GCUGUGGCAUGGUGUACUACAUCAUGUACGCAAUGAACACACAUGGGCCACAGGGUUCUGUGAGCAUGAGCCAUUGGAUGACAGCAGUCGAGAAAAGCCAUGGAUACAGCAAGGUUCUGCUGCUCACCAGACCCUAACUGCCAUUGUUUUGAACAAACGCUGGCUGAAAGAUGUCAAAAAGUACAUUACAUUCAGGACUACCUCAGAUUUAGAGAGUUUUCAGAACCAUAUUCUGAUGUAUGCAGGGAAGCGCUUUGCCUACAAGUACAAAGUGUACAGAACCAGGGUUUUUCUUGCAGCAAUUGAUUACAACUACCACAAUGGCCGCGAGCAUAGACGCAACAGAAAAAGAGAAAAAUUUA